rnacentral:rRNA from 1 species
GGCCAGACUCCUACGGGAGGCAGCAGUGGGGAAUAUUGCACAAUGGGGGAAACCCUGAUGCAGCGACGCCGCGUGAGUGAAGAAGUCUUUCGGUAUGUAAAGCUCUAUCAGCAGGGAAGAAAAUGACGGUACCUGAUUAAGAAGCCCCGGCUAACUACGUGCCAGCAGCCGCGGUAAUACGUAGGGGGCAAGCGUUAUCCGGAUUUACUGGGUGUAAAGGGAGCGUAGACGGCAGCACAAGUCUGGAGUGAAAGGCCGGGGCUUAACCCCGGACUGCUUUGGAAACUGGGAAACUGGAGUGCAGGAGAGGUAAGUGGAAUUCCUAGUGUAGCGGUGAAAUGCGUAGAUAUUAGGAGGAACACCAGUGGCGAAGGCGGCUUACUGGACGGUAACUGACGUUGAGGCUCGAAAGCGUGGGGAGCAAACAGGAUUAGAUACCCCCGUACUC